UGAGGUAGAUUGUUGGAUGACUUAAUUUUAAAGCCAUUCAACUAUCUGUCUUCUCU
rnacentral:pre_miRNA from 1 species